UUGCGUAGGUGGUUAGUAAAGCGAAUAGUGAAAUCUGGUGGCUCAACUAUACAGGCUAUUAUUCGUACUCACUAACUCGAGAGUGGUAGAGGUAACUGGAAUUUCUUGUGUAGGAGUGAAAUCCGUAGAUAUAAGAAGGAACACCAAUGGCGUAGGCAGGUUACUGGACCAUUUCUGACACUGAGGCACGAAAGCGUGGGGAGCGAACC
rnacentral:rRNA from 1 species